rnacentral:lncRNA from 1 species
UCUCAAUAUACUGUUUCUUCUACACACAUCUCCAUAAUCGAAAAUGGUAAUAGUUAGGAUUCAUUAAAAAAAUCGAGAACCCACUCAUGGGACAAGAAACCCUUCCCGCAUCAGGCACUAAUAAAUUUUUAACGUUUAAUUAGAUCGGGAAUCAUUCAAAUUAAGAACAAAAGCUCGUUGCUUUUUCUUUCCCUAUAAUUUAAUUGAAGCCGCAGCCCUAUCCAUUUAUUCAUUCGACCCAACUUUAUUUUGUUCCGUUCCAAGAAUUCGAACAUGGUUUUAUACCCAUCUAGGAACAAUGAAAUAUUUUCAGAACUUUCCGUUGAUACGACAUGCUAUUUUUACCAUUCAUUCCCUUUCAGGAUCAGUCGCAGUCUUCCAAACUUUACCGAGAGUAUGGACGAAUCCCUCACUUCAUCCAUAUGUGUAAAAGACACUAGCCGCACUUAAAAGCCGAGUACUCUACCGUUGAGUUAGCAACCCGAAGAAAAUAUCGAAAAAAAAAAAUGUGUAGAUCCAAUCCGAAGAAAAAGAAAUAAAGAGAUUAGACAAGACAACCAAAAACCAUUGAAAGAAGAAAUCUAAAAAAAU